CAAGACGUCGUCUGCAAGAGCGGCUACGAACAUCUAGGCAUUCCUUACCCUGUUCCCUUCAAGGCUGAUUCCUCGCCAUUAUCCGCUUCCAUCCUCGUUCCCGCUGACUUCUUGGUAUCCUUCACCCUCCCAAACCUUCCCGAACAACCCCGAGGCCCACGUUUGUGGCUGGUUGGCCCGGAAGCCGAUUUGUGAAGGUGAGCUUUGCUUGUGUUUCGCCCUUGAACGUGGAAUGCGUGAGAAAGGUUCACUUAGACGAGAUUAUUCCUCUGAUUAUCGUUUCAUUAGUCUGGUGCCCUACGUCGAGGGUGACUCAAGACAGACACAAAUUGAAGGGCAAUAUCUGGAUGAUUACCUUAUUUCUAUUUAUUCAUUGGUUUGUCUGUUUAUUUAUUUGUUCCUUUAUUCCUUCGUUCAGAGUGUUUAUUUAUUUGUUCCUUUAUUCCUUCGUUUAGAGAAUAUACAUUUUUAUUUUACCUGGUCAUUCGGAAGUCCAUGAUCCACAUCUGUCAUGAGGAUUGACAGAUGACAGGCAAGACUAAAGGUCGGACUGCUCCCGAGGGCAUGAGUAACGUCACGCAUUACAGGGGAAAACAAACAGGAAUGAAGGUUGACUUUUCUUGCCCAACAUCCGGGUGUGAGUCAAGGUAUGUCUUGUGAGGAUGAGUUUUGAUUGCUUGUUCUGUGAUUUGUUCUUGUUGCGGCUUGAA
rnacentral:lncRNA from 1 species